CGUGUCUAAAUGAAGAUUUAUCUCUUCUUGUGUUUAUAUUUAUGAAGUUGGUACAAGAGUUCUGAGGAGUGAGGUUAGCGUACAAUUCAAUUCCAAUUUCCGACAUUGGUUACCGCCUCGCUGUUAUUUUUAAAAUAUGAGCACGCCAAUUUGGGAACUUCUCUUCUGGUUCAGUGAGAAAUAAAGAACCAAAAGUUGAUGUAUGACAUAUCUUUAAGACAUGAGUCGUCAGUGAGCAGUAUGACAUUUUUUCUGGUCUCCUUUACAACCUUUUCCUGGACUCUCUGAAUAAGCUGCAGAUUUUUUCUUAUCAAGAACCAAGUGUUGUAACUGAAAACAUAAAAGAAUUUCAGCAACAGAGCAAGAACGCCGAAGAAUUCCUAGUGUUAAAUCUGUACAGAUUCAGUUCAAAAUAUAAAGUUAUUGAAACAUAAGGCCAGACAUAUAUGACUUGCCUCUUAUCAAGUAAGAUCUUGAGUAGCUUGAG
rnacentral:lncRNA from 1 species